rnacentral:lncRNA from 1 species
AAGAACAAAGGAAGAAAAGAAAGAACAAGAACCCUAGGGUGAAAAUUCUAGAGAAAAAUUGAUGGAUUUCAAGUAAUCAAGCAAUCAAAGGUAAAAUUUCUUGAUUUUGACUUAUGAUCUACCUUUUUCAUGCAUUAUUUUGCAUUUUCCAUGGUUGAAUCACAAGAUAUCAUGGCUAGCCGAAUGGGUAUGGAAAGAGAAUGAUGUUAAAUUGAUUUGAUUUCAAGUUAUGUUAGUGUUUUUAGUUAUUUUAUCAUGUCUAGAAGCAAAACAACAAGAAAAUAAUUCAUUUUCCCCAUCACCCAUCAAUGGCCGAACCUACCUUGUAUUGAGUGAGGAUGAAUUUGAUUUUUUAUUUUAAGAGAAUUGGUUAGAAAAUGAUGAAUUAUGGUGUGAAAAAUUAGUAGGAAAAAUCACGGUGUUAAUGUACCAUUAUUGAUCGAAAAUUUUAAGAAGAAAAGUGAAGAUGGUUUUGCCAAAUUUUAGGUUAUUUGACUUGUGUUUGGUGAAUUAAGGUAUUGGAAAAUAAAUGGAGCAAUUUGGAGCUAAAUUGGACGCGUUGGCCAAUUAAUCGGGUGAUAAGACGAAUUAGGUCAAUAUCAGGUUUAGAUGGUUACUCGUGCAUUUUGCAUUCCAUAUCAUACAUUAGUAGUCUAAAUUAGUUUAAUUUCGAUUUAGUACCAAUGUAGUAAGUUUCUCGAUUUUGUACUAUGUCAAGGUGGUGAGUCCUCUGAUAAAGGUAAGAAAAUUGCAUCCGAGGACCAGUAGUCAGAGUACUUCAAAAAUUCACACUCUAGACAUUGUGAGUAACCUUACUAUCAUCUUAAUUAUCUAAAGUGAUUUUUAUCCGAUUUUGUGAAUUUCAUGAAAAAUGAAUUAAAUGAUUAAUUUUUCAGUUUUAUAAACAAAAUGUGAUUUAAUGAAAAUAAUUUUAUAAAAUUGUCUUGAAAUUGAAUGAUGGUUUUGGAAAAUAGAGUAAUUGGAGAUCAAUUGCUGUGUUGUAAAUUAUGGUUUGAAUUGAAUGGCUUAUGAUAAUGUGGACAUGAGUGGCUGGAUUUGGUAAAUGUGCUGAAAAUGUAUGAACUGUUGUUUUGCCUUGACAUGCUGUGUUGUAAAAUAAUUGCCACGUCAUGCUGUUGGAAUUUUAUUGAUUUGGUGGAUAAUUAUUAGCUUACUGCAGUGGACGGGUUUCUGUGGACCAACCUAUUAGAGGGGCACGGUAAACCCCAUUAUAUCUUACCUCAGUAUGAGAGGCACGGAUGGAUAACUCCUGAGGUUAACACUUUAGAGUUCACUUCACGCUAAACCACCGCGUGAGGGUGAACUCAGCCAACGCCAAGGAACGACUAUGUUUUCAAAAUAAAAACAUAAUUUAUGCGUACAUGACUUUUUAACAGCCUUGGCGGACUCGGUUGGGAUAGCCCUCGAUCAAGGCAUCCAUGAUAACUGGGUAUGAGAAUGAUUUUGACACAAGCCAAAGCUUUUAAGAAAUUCAUAAGCCAUGUUGAUUACUCGAUUUAUAUGAAUUGAUUUUAUUUGGUUGAAACAAGUUGAAAGGUGAUGAAUUUCAAUAUGUUAAACUGUUUUAUCUGUCUUCAUUUACUCAGCUUUACAUAUUUUAGAUAGUAUUUGUUUACUCACUGGAAUUUUAUAAUCUCACCACCCUCCUUUCCACCCAUUUCAAACUCAGUAUAGGCUGUAGAUAGCUGAUAUCGUCGAAGGCCACAGUUGGCUUUACUUCCUCAAAAACUGUAAGUUUGCAACCUUCGUUCAUUUUUGUCAUUUGGGGGUCCACAUGUCAUUGUAAAUUAAAUUGCAUACUUCAGUUAUCUGUACUACUGUAUGUAGAAAUUUAUUUUGCUUUUACACUGUAAAUAAAAAUUAUUUACGCAGUGUUUUAAAAAUAUUGUUUUAUGAGAAAAUUGAGUAUUUUAUUCAAUAUUUUUAUUUUAUUCUAAUAGUCAUAAUUUCACUUUAAACGAAUGUUUUAGAUAUCCAAAUUUAUUUUUGAUUAUGAAAUAUGUGUUUUGCACCGUAUACUACAUUAUUAGUUAGUUUCGAAAUUUUUAGAGAAAAAUGACUAAAAUACCCCUGUGAGACAAAAAUUAUUUUUUAUUGUUUUAAGUUGGAAAUAGUUUAAAAUCUUUUAAAACGUGAUAUUUGGCAACGGUUACUCACAG